rnacentral:rRNA from 1 species
UACAGAGGUCCCAAGCGUUGUUCGGAUUCACUGGGCGUAAAGGGUGCGCAGGUGGCGCUUCAAGUUUGAUGUGAAAGCUUCGGGCUUAACCCGGAAAUGGCAUUGAAUACUGGAGUGCUGGAGGUUUGGAGGGGGGACUGGAAUUCUCGGUGUAGCAGUGAAAUGCGUAGAUAUCGAGAGGAACACCAGUGGCGAAGGCGAGUCCCUGGACAACACCUGACACUGAGGCACGAAAGCCGGGGGAGCGAAACAGG